rnacentral:lncRNA from 1 species
AGGGAGGGGUUGCUUCUGCUGCCUAAUCUUUCCUCAGCCUCUGAGUUCACAUCCUUGACUAUAUGCUGCUGCUGCUGCUGCUGCAUUGUAGAACUGGGGUUAAAUGAUCUCCAUCUACAAAGGCCAUCUUUGGGGUUGUGUCUGACUCCUCAUGACCCCAUUUGGGAUUUUCCUGACAAAGAUCCUAGAGUGGUUUGCCAUUUCCUUCUCCAGUUCAUUUUACAGAUGAGGAAACUGAGAAAUUUUCAAGAGUCAAGAGUUUUUUUUGCUGCUGUUUGCUUAUUUUCCCACCAGUGCACUGGGAAAUCUGCAAGUUGCUGGCCAUUUCUAUUAGCUUCUGGCUGGCAAGGUUUUGCCCUGGGACUGUCUUUACCACUGCUGUGAAGGCUUGAGAAUGCCCAGCUCUAUGGACCUCUGGACCUUACUGCCAGAGCCUAGGACUUCAAGGAGUGGAUCUAAGGUGUUCUUUUGUUGGUAUAGUCCAGUUCUAAAUGCUCUUUAUUAUUAUUUUUUUAAUUAAAAAAUGUGUUUGUUCUCUCUCCUACUUCUGCUCUACUGAAAGAAUAAAAACACUUGUAACAAAUAUGA